rnacentral:rRNA from 1 species
UACGUAGGGUGCAAGCGUUGUCCGGAAUUAUUGGGCGUAAAGAGCUCGUAGGCGGUUUGUCGCGUCUGCUGUGAAAACUCGGGGCUUAACCCUGGGCCUGCAGUGGGUACGGGCAGACUAGAGUGCGGUAGGGGAGACUGGAAUUCCUGGUGUAGCGGUGAAAUGCGCAGAUAUCAGGAGGAACACCGGUGGCGAAGGCGGAUCUCUGGGCCAUUACUGACGCUGAGGAGCGAAAGCGUGGGGAGCGAACAGG